UAGGUUGAGGAGGCGGUGACUGUGGCAGUGGAGGAGGGGGAUGAGGUAACCAACAUUGUUUUUUAUAUAUAUAUAUAUAUAUUUUUUUUUUUUUUUAAUUGGGGUAGCCCCCAAAAUAUUGGGACAUAUAAAAAAAGACAACUCUGUUCCGCAGAGUAGCCGUUGACAUUAUAGUUGUGCAGGCACUUUGUUGACCCUAGAGAACCUCGGGCCAAUCGCACAACCCUGUGACGACGACUUUGCAUGCAGAUGUCAUUGAUAUCAACUUUCAAUGCCAGUUUCUGCGCCUACCAUGGUGACCACGGGUAACGGGGAAUCAGGGUUCCAUUCCGUACAGGGACCCUGAGAAACGGCUACCACAUGCAAGUAAGGCAGCAGGCGCGCAAAUGACCCACUCCCAACAUGGGAAGGUAGUGACGACAAAUAACAAUACAGGACUCUUUAGAGGCCCUGUAAUUGUAAUGAGUCCACUUGAAGUCCUUUAACUCUGAUCAAUUGGAGGGAAGUCUGGUGCAGAGCCACUGACCCGUGCGUGCGUCAGCUGAAACUCCACUAUCGCCUGCUGCAAA